rnacentral:rRNA from 1 species
CCAACAAAUACAACAGGAAUACACAAGAGAAAAGAAGACCCAAAGGAGCUGAAAUCAAAUGGCAUCCUCCCCUUCUUUCCUUCUCCUCGCUGCUCUUCUUGCCUUGGUCUCAUGGCAGGCCGUUGCAUCCGAUCCUGGCCCGCUCCAGGACUUUUGUGUCGCCGACAUGCAAUCACCAGUGCGUGUCAAUGGAUUUGUUUGCAAGAACCCGAUGGAGGUCAAUGCUGAUGAUUUCUUCAAGGCAGCCGCCCUCGACAAGCCUAGGGUGACCAACAAGGUUGGCUCCAACGUCACCUUGAUCAAUGUCAUGCAGAUUGCCGGACUCAACACCCUCGGCAUCUCAAUCGCGCGCAUCGACUAUGCUCCCUUGGGCCAGAACCCACCACAUACGCACCCCCGCGCCACUGAGAUCCUCACAGUGCUCGAGGGGACACUAUACGUUGGCUUUGUCACAUCCAACCUGCCCGCCCCAGCCAGAAACAAGUUCUUCUCGAAGGUGCUCAACAAAGGUGACGUGUUUGUCUUCCCCGUGGGGCUCAUCCACUUCCAAUUUAACCCCAACCCCCAUCAGACCGCCGUUGCAAUUGCCGCGCUCAGCAGCCAGAACCCAGGGGCUAUCACAAUUGCCAAUGCAGUGUUUGGGUCAGACCCACCAAUAUCCGAUGAUGUUCUUGCCAAGGCGUUUCAGGUGGAAAAGAAUACAAUAGACUGGCUCCAGGCUCAGUUCUGGGAGAACAACCACAACUAAGUGAAAGGUUGGCUGAUUACACAGAAGACCAGUGCGCAAAUUAAGGACAUGUUUGAGUUUCUAGAUAUGUAUCCUAAUCUAUAAAAUAAAUGGAGCAUAUGCCAUUCCAUUCCGUGUCUGUAAUGAGUGAAUGUACUUCUACCUUCAGAAUAAUUGACAAUAUCGUUGUUUAUCACACGGAUAUGAUCUCAUAUUAUUUUUUUUUGGUUCUAAUGUGUCGUAUUUCUCAUAAAUAUUUUGGGUUCUUUUCCCCUUGU